AUUGCGGUGAGGGUCCACCCGUUCCCAUCCCGAACACGGCAGUUAAGCUCACCUGCGCCGAAAAUACUUGGCUGGAGACGGCCCGGGAAGAUAGGUAAUGC
rnacentral:rRNA from 1 species